GUGGACAUGCCGGCAGCUACCAUGCAAGUCGAGCGGUAACAGAUCCAGCUUGCUGGAUGCUGACGAGCGGCGGACGGGUGAGUAAUGCAUAGGAAUCUGCCCGAUAGUGGGGGAUAACCUGGGGAAACCCAGGCUAAUACCGCAUACGUCCUACGGGAGAAAGGGGGCUUCGGCUCCCGCUAUCGGAUGAGCCUAUGUCGGAUUAGCUAGUUGGUGAGGUAACGGCUCACCAAGGCCACGAUCCGUAGCUGGUCUGAGAGGAUGAUCAGCCACAUCGGGACUGAGACACGGCCCGAACUCCUACGGGAGGCAGCAGUGGGGAAUAUUGGACAAUGGGGGGAACCCUGAUCCAGCCAUGCCGCGUGUGUGAAGAAGGCCCUCGGGUUGUAAAGCACUUUCAGCGAGGAAGAACGCCUAGCGGUUAAUACCCGCUAGGAAAGACAUCACUCGCAGAAGAAGCACCGGCUAACUCCGUGCCAGCAGCCGCGGUAAUACGGAGGGUGCAAGCGUUAAUCGGAAUUACUGGGCGUAAAGCGCGCGUAGGUGGCUUGAUAAGCCGGUUGUGAAAGCCCCGGGCUCAACCUGGGAACGGCAUCCGGAACUGUCAAGCUAGAGUGCAGGAGAGGAAGGUAGAAUUCCCGGUGUAGCGGUGAAAUGCGUAGAGAUCGGGAGGAAUACCAGUGGCGAAGGCGGCCUUCUGGACUGACACUGACACUGAGGUGCGAAAGCGUGGGUAGCAAACAGGAUUAGAUACCUGUGGUAGUCAA
rnacentral:rRNA from 1 species